rnacentral:rRNA from 1 species
UACGGAGAGUGCAAGCAUUAAUCGGAAUUAUUGGGCGUAAAGGGCGCGUAGGCGGAAGGGAAAGUCAGAUGUGAAAUUCCGAGGCUCAACCUCGGAGCUGCAUUUGAAACUGUCCAUCUAGAGGGUUGACGGAGAAAACGGAAUUCCACGUGUAGCGGUGAAAUGCGUAGAGAUGUGGAAGAACACCUGUGGCGAAAGCGGUUUUCUAGUUAAUACCUGACGCUGAGGCGCGAGAGCAAGGGGAGCAAAC